rnacentral:rRNA from 1 species
GACGAACGCUGGCGGCGUGCCUAAUACAUGCAAGUAGAACGCACAGUUUAUACCGUAGCUUGCUACACCAUAGACUGUGAGUUGCGAACGGGUGAGUAACGCGUAGGUAACCUGCCUGGUAGCGGGGGAUAACUAUUGGAAACGAUAGCUAAUACCGCAUAAUAUUAAUUAUUGCAUGAUAAUUAAUUGAAAGGUGCAAUUGCACCACUACCAGAUGGACCUGCGUUGUAUUAGCUAGUAGGUGAGGUAACGGCUCACCUAGGCGACGAUACAUAGCCGACCUGGGAGGGUGAUCGGCCACACUGGGACUGGGACACGGCCCAGACUCCUACGGGAGGCAGCAGUAGGGAAUCUUCGGCAAUAGACGAAAGGCUGACCGAGCAACGCCGCGGGAGUGAAGAAGGUUUUCGGAUCGUAAAGCUCUGUUGUAAGAGAAGAACGGGUGUGAGAGUGGAAAGUUCACACUGUGACGGUAUCUUACCAGAAAGGGACGGCUAACUACGUG